GAUGAAGAACGCAGCGAAAUGCGAUAAGUAGUGUGAAUUGCAGAAUUCAGUGAAUCAUCGAAUCUUUGAACGCACAUUGCGCCCCUUGGUAUCCCGAGGGGCAUGCCUGUUCGAGCGUCAUUUCACCACUCAAGCCUGGCUUGGUGUUGGGCGACGUCCUCUUUGGGGACGCGCCUCGAAACGCUCGGCGGCGUGGCACCGGCUUUAAGCGUAGCAGAAUCUUUCGCUUUGGAAGUCGUGGCCCCGUCUGCCGGAAGACCUGCUCGCAAGGUUGACCUCGGAUCAGGCAGGGAUACCCGCUGAACUUAAGCAUAUCAAUAAGCGGAGGA
rnacentral:misc_RNA from 1 species